GUGACCUGAGAGGGCAGUGGCGCACCAGUCUCCAUGAAGGUUGAGCUCCGAUGGCCAACGGCCAUUUCCACCUUGUGGUCUACAACUCUUCAUCCCGACUGCAUGGAGGUUGGUCUCUCUCUUCAGCUGGAUUUAGGCCACCAUCUGAGCCCCCGGGGUACGUUUUGUCUGACCCUGGCGCCAUUCGAACGGUUCUUCUACAGCAUCAGUUCUCUUUCCUGCCACCAUGUGAAGAAGGACAUGUUUGCUUCCCCUUCUGCCAUGAAUGGACAGGGUCCUGCUGUGUUGCCCAGGCUGGCCUUGAACUCCUGGCUUCAAACAGUCUUCCCACUUGGGCUCCCAAAGUGCUGGGAUUAAAGGGGCGAGUUACAGCACCAGGACCUGAAAUGUCUUCCAAUUAAGAGGAACUGUGUUUGAAGAGGUAUUAUUAAAGAACCACCCCUGAGAAGCUUUAUUUUCCCCUGGACCCAAUUUAGAGAAUGACAUACUGGACUUCUGGCUGAUGCUGUAAUGGGGUAAGACUUUGGGGGACCUUAGGAGGCAGGUGAGUGAACUUUGCAUGUGUGAGAGAUAUAAAUUAUUGGGAUUGAUAUUUUUUCUUUUUAAAAUAGUUCAUUUUUAAUUGCUGUAGAUGCACAAGUUAUACAUAUUUAUAGGGUACUUGUGACAUUGAUACAAGCCUACGACAUGUAAUGAUCAAACUGGGGUGAUUAGGGUAUCCAUCACCUCAAGCACUUAUCAUUUCUUUGUGCUAGGAACAUCCCAAUCUCACUCUUUUAAUUAAUUUGAAAUACAAA
ensembl:lncRNA PPP1R3B-DT PPP1R3B divergent transcript